rnacentral:rRNA from 1 species
GUUUCGGGUACCGCUCCGGUUUAAAUUUCUUGGAACAGAAUGUCAAAGAGGGUGAGAAUCCCGUCUUGGACCGGCGGUAGGGCCCAUGUGAAACUCCUUCGACGAGUCGAGUUGUUUGGGAAUGCAGCUCAAAAUGGGUGGUAAAUUUCAUCUAAAGCUAAAUAUUGGCCAGAGACCGAUAGCGCACAAGUAGAGUGAUCGAAAGAUGAAAAGCACUUUGAAAAGAGAGUUAAACAGUAUGUGAAAUUGUUGAAAGGGAAGCGCUUGCAACCAGACUUGAGCGCGGCGGUUCCCCCUUCCUUCUGGUUGGGCUACUCCGCCGCGUCCAGGCCAACAUCGGUUCUGGGGGUCGGUCAAAGGCUCGGGGAAUGUAUCUACCCUUCGGGCGUAGACUUAUAGCCCCGAGUGUCAUGCGACCUCCCGGGACCGAGGAACGCGCUUCGGCUCGGAUGUUGGCGUAAUGGUUGUCAGCGACCCGUCUUGAAACACGGACCAAGGAGUCUAACAUCUAUGCGAGUGUUUGGGUGUCAAACCCGGAACGCGGAAUGAAAGUGAACGGAGGUAGGAAGCUUCGGCUGCACUAUCGACCGAUCCUGAUGUCUUCGGAUGGAUUUGAGUAAGAGCAUAGCUGUUGGGACCCGAAAGAUGGUGAACUAUGCCUGAAUAGGGUGAAGCCAGAGGAAACUCUGGUGGAGGCUCGCAGCGGUUCUGACGUGCAAAUCGAUCGUCAAAUUUGGGUAUAGGGGCGAAAGACUAAUCGAACCAUCUGG